UCUGGAAACACUUCAGCCCCUACUCCUGGUGCUAAGUUCUCCCAUAUCUUACAAAAAGAUGCCUUUCUAGUCUUCAGGUCACUAUGUAAAUUGUCUAUGAAGCCACUGUCUGAUGGGCCUCCAGACCCAAAGUUUUCUUUAAGGAAAUCUUCCUUUACAUACUGGAAACAUCUACUAGUUCUUUUGAUCACAAGUGGAUGGUGAUUCAGACACUGACAAGAAUUUGUGCAGAUGCGCAAGGUGUGGUUGAUAUUUAUGUAAAUUAUGACUGUGAUUUGAACGCAGCCAACAUCUUUGAAAGGUUGGUUAAUGACCUCUCCAAGAUUGCUCAAGGGCGAGGAAGCCAAGAACUUGGCAUGUCAAAUGUUCAGCUACUUAUUAUUUAUUUGUCAUUUUCUUAAUCUCACUAACUUUUUGUCUACCAGUCAUAAUUUAUUUGUCAUAUAUGUUUUCUAUAUUUGCAAAUAAACAUAUAGUAAUAGCUACAGCAGUUUGCUUAUUUGCAAUUAACACAGUGAAAACCAGAAUUUCCAUGUCUCUCUCAGGAAAGUGACACUAACUAAUAUUGAUAUUGGAAUUCACAUAACACAUGUUGGUUUUCAUAUGAUUAUUAAUCACAUGUGCCUUAAUACUGAAAAUAAGUGAUGUCAGGCUGUCUGGAAAAUUCCUACUAAAGGGUUCUUGUGAUCCCAUCAGAUUGCAGAUUUGUGGGUUUGAUGUGUCCAAAAAAUUAGUUUACCCUUAUUUAAGAGAUUAUUGUUGCAAAAUGACAGUGUAUUCCAUGUUCUAUCAGAAAUAACGCACUGUUACUUGUCAUUCAGUUUUCACUCACUUAGGUUCAUAAGCAAUCAUUUUGUAAAUAAGCAAUCAUAUUUGAUGUCAGUUUGAUCUACUUUCUUUCAUUUUUGUCCAUUAUGCCACCAAAUAUUACUUUUUAUCUUGAACCAGCCUGAUGAACAUUCAUACUUUAUCUCUUGGUAUUUAUUUUUUAUUUUUAAGGAGUUAAACUUAAAGGACCAGUAACAUCAAAUUUUUUUUUUUAGAAAA